ACGGGAGGCAGCAGUGGGGAAUAUUGCACAAUGGGGGAAACCCUGAUGCAGCGACGCCGCGUGAGCGAAGAAGUAUUUCGGUAUGUAAAGCUCUAUCAGCAGGGAAGAAAAUGACGGUACCUGACUAAGAAGCACCGGCUAAAUACGUGCCAGCAGCCGCGGUAAUACGUAUGGUGCAAGCGUUAUCCGGAUUUACUGGGUGUAAAGGGAGCGUAGACGGCGAGGCAAGUCUGAAGUGAAAUGCGGGGGCUCAACCCCUGAACUGCUUUGGAAACUGUUUUGCUAGAGUGCAGGAGAGGUAAGUGGAAUUCCUAGUGUAGCGGUGAAAUGCGUAGAUAUUAGGAGGAACACCGGCGGCGAAGGCGGCUUACUGGACUGUAACUGACGUUGAGGCUCGAAAGCGUGGGGAGCAAACAGGAUUAGAUACCCUGGUA
rnacentral:rRNA from 1 species